rnacentral:rRNA from 1 species
AGAGUUUGAUCAUGGCUCAGGAUGAACGCUGGCGGCGUGCCUAAUGCAUGCAAGUCGCACGCACGGAGCUUGCUCCGUGAGUGGCGCACGGCUGAGGAUCACGUGGGAACAUGCCUCCUUGUGGGGGACAACACCGCGAAAGCGGUGCUAAUCCCGCAUACGCUCGCAAGAGGAAAGCAGUAAUGCGCAGGGAGAGUGGCCCGCGGCCCAUCAGGUCGUUGGUGGGGUAAUGGCCUACCAAGCCGGUGACGGGUAGCUGGUCUGUGAGGACAGACAGCCAGACUGGGACUGAGACACGGCCCAGACUCCUACGGGAGGCAGCAGCAAGGAAUUUUCGUCAAUGGGCGCAAGCCUGAACGAGCAACGCCGCGUGGAGGAUGACGGCCUUCGGGUUGUAAACUCCUUUUUCGGGGGACGAUAAUGACGGUACCCCGGGAAUAAGGCUCGGCUAACUUCGUGCCAGCAGCCGCGGUAAUUC